UACGUAGGGAGCAAGCGUUGUCCGGAAUCAUUGGGCGUAAAGCGCGCGUAGGUGGCUUCGUAAGUCCGUUGUGAAAGUCAAAGGCUCAACCUUUGAAAGCCGAUGGAUACUGCGGAGCUAGAGUACGGAAGAGGCGAGUGGAAUUCCUGGUGUAGCGGUGAAAUGCGCGGAUAUCAGGAAGAACACCCGUGGCGAAGGCGGUUCUCUGGGACGGUACUGACGCUGAGACGCGAAAGCGUGGGGAGCGAACAGG
rnacentral:rRNA from 1 species